rnacentral:tRNA from 2 species
GGCCCCGUCGUCUAGUGGUGAAGACUCCGGACUUUCGAUCCGGGAACGGGGGUUCGAUUCCCCCCGGGGCUA